rnacentral:rRNA from 1 species
CAGCAGCCGCGGUAAUACGAAGGGGGCUAGCGUUGCUCGGAACCACUGGGCGUAAAGGGUGCGUAGGCGGGUCUUUAAGUCAGGGGUGAAAUCCUGGAGCUCAACUCCAGAACUGCCUUUGAUACUGAAGAUCUUGAGUUCGGGAGAGGUGAGUGGAACUGCGAGUGUAGAGGUGAAAUUCGUAGAUAUUCGCAAGAACACCAGUGGCGAAGGUGGCUCACUGGCCCGAUACUGACGCUGAGGCGCGAAAGCGUGGGGAGCAAACAGGAUUAGAGACCCCUGUAGUCCCUGUCUCUUAUAC